rnacentral:rRNA from 1 species
GGACGGUGGGUGACGCUCACGAGAAGCCUUUGUGGCCCCGCAAGGGGUACCCGCCGCGACUGUAAAAAAUGGAUGUGGGUAUUAAAUCGCAAGUCAGCUGGGUCAAAACCGGCUGGCCACACUUUCGAAUUGCGGGGAAACCCUAAAGCCUGCCUCUACCAACCAGCUGGGGAAAUCCGGUUGGGGCCUGUGUUAACAGCACAGGGUACGGUAAGAAUGGGGCAGGAUAAGCCAACCGUUUUUCGGUUGGCACCAUGGGCAAUCCGCAGCCAAGUCCCUAAGGUUGUCAACCAAAACAGCUAUGGGAAAGGUUCACAGACUAAGUGGAAGUGGGCUGGAGCUUUACCUUUGGGUUAAGCCAGCUUAAGAUAUAGUCGGGCUCUCUGCGAAAGCAAAGAGGAGUCACAAAACCAAACCGUUCCGUAGGUGAACCUGCGGAAGGAUCAUUA